rnacentral:rRNA from 1 species
CAUUACCGAGUUUCCAAAACUCCCAAACCCACUGUGAACCUUACCAUAACGUUGCUUCGGCGGGACAGCCCCGGGCCCCCGCGCCCGGAACCAGGCGCCCGCCGGAGGCCCCAACAAACUCUCGUGUCUACCCCAGCGGCAUCUACGUCUGAGUGGCCCCGAAAGGGCAAGCAAAUGAAUCAAAACUUUCAACAACGGAUCUCUUGGUUCUGGCAUCGAUGAAGAACGCAGCGAAAUGCGAUAAGUAAUGUGAAUUGCAGAAUUCAGUGAAUCAUCGAAUCUUUGAACGCACAUUGCGCCCGCCAGUAUUCUGGCGGGCAUGCCUGUCCGAGCGUCAUUUCAACCCUCGAUGCCCCCCCGGGGGCGCCGGUGUUGGGGGACGGCCCGCCGCCCAGAGCGGAUGGCCGCCCCCGAAAUGCAGUGGCGACCCCGCCGCAGCCUCCCCUGCGUAGUAGCUACAUACUGAAACCUCGCACCGGAGAGCGGCGCGGCUCUGCCGUUAAACCCCAACUCACGAAAGGUUGA